rnacentral:rRNA from 1 species
UACGUAGGGUGCGAGCGUUGUCCGGAAUUACUGGGCGUAAAGCGUGCGUAGGUGGUUUGUUAAGUCUGUUGUGAAAGCCCCGGGCUCAACCUGGGAAUGGCAAUGGAUACUGGCAGGCUAGAGUGCGGUAGAGGUAGUGGAAUUCCCGGUGUAGCGGUGAAAUGCGCAGAUAUCAGGAGGAACACCGAUGGCGAAGGCAGGUCUCUGGGCCACUACUGACGCUGAGAAGCGAAAGCAUGGGGAGCGAACAGG